GCUUUCCUGGUGCUCAGUUGGUAGACCAUUUCACUAACAACGCAAAGGUCGUCGGUUCUAAUCCCAGGGAAUGCA